rnacentral:rRNA from 1 species
CUUGCUCUUCGGAUCAGUGGCGAACGGGUGAGUAACACGUGAGCAAUCUGCCCCUGACUCUGGGAUAAGCGCUGGAAACGGCGUCUAAUACUGGAUAUGAGCUGCGAUCGCAUGGUCAGCAGUUGGAAAGAACUUCGGUCAGGGAUGAGCUCGCGGCCUAUCAGCUUGUUGGUGAGGUAAUGGCUCACCAAGGCGUCGACGGGUAGCCGGCCUGAGAGGGUGACCGGCCACACUGGGACUGAGACACGGCCCAGACUCCUACGGGAGGCAGCAGUGGGGAAUAUUGCACAAUGGGCGCAAGCCUGAUGCAGCAACGCCGCGUGAGGGACGACGGCCUUCGGGUUGUAAACCUCUUUUAGCAGGGAAGAAGCGAAAGUGACGGUACCUGCAGAAAAAGCACCGGCUAACUACGUGCCAGCAGCCGCGGUAAUACGUAGGGUGCAAGCGUUAUCCGGAAUUAUUGGGCGUAAAGAGCUCGUAGGCGGUUUGUCGCGUCUGCUGUGAAAACCCGAGGCUCAACCUCGGGCCUGCAGUGGGUACGGGCAGACUAGAGUGCGGUAGGGGAGAUUGGAAUUCCUGGUGUAGCGGUGGAAUGCGCAGAUAUCAGGAGGAACACCGAUGGCGAAGGCAGAUCUCUGGGCCGUAACUGACGCUGAGGAGCGAAAGGGUGGGGAGCAAACAGGCUUAGAUACCCUGGUAGUCCACCCCGUAAACGUUGGGAACUAGUUGUGGGGUCCAUUCCACGGAUUCCGUGACGCAGCUAACGCAUUAAGUUCCCCGCCUGGGGAGUACGGCCGC